GACGAACGCUGGCGGCGUGCCUAAUACAUGCAAGUAGAACGCUGAAGGAGGAGCUUGCUUCUCUGGAUGAGUUGCGAACGGGUGAGUAACGCGUAGGUAACCUGCCUGGUAGCGGGGGAUAACUAUUGGAAACGAUAGCUAAUACCGCAUAAGAGUAGAUGUUGCAUGACAUUUGCUUAAAAGGUGCAAUUGCAUCACUACCAGAUGGACCUGCGUUGUAUUAGCUAGUUGGUGGGGUAACGGCUCACCAAGGCGACGAUACAUAGCCGACCUGAGAGGGGGAUCGGCCACACUGGGACUGAGACACGGCCCAGACUCCUACGGGAGGCAGCAGUAGGGAAUCUUCGGCAAUAGACGGAAGUCUGAACGAGCAACGCCGCGUGAGUGAAGAAGGUUUUCGGAUCGUAAAGCUCUGUUGUAAGAGAAGAACGAGUGUGAGAGUGGAAAGUUCACACUGUGACGGUAUCUUACCAGAAAGGGACGGCUAACUACGUG
rnacentral:rRNA from 1 species